CCUACGGGAGGCAGCAGUGGGGAAUAUUGGACAAUGGGCGAAAGCCUGAUCCAGCCAUGCCGCGUGUGUGAAGAAGGCCUUCGGGUUGUAAAGCACUUUCAGUGGGGAAGAAAGCCUUGGGGCUAAUACCCUCGAGGAAGGACAUCACCCACAGAAGAAGCACCGGCUAACUCCGUGCCAGCAGCCGCGGUAAUACGGAGGGUGCGAGCGUUAAUCGGAAUUACUGGGCGUAAAGCGCGCGUAGGCGGUCUGAUAAGCCGGUUGUGAAAGCCCCGGGCUCAACCUGGGAACGGCAUCCGGAACUGUCAGGCUAGAGUGCAGGAGAGGAAGGUAGAAUUCCCGGUGUAGCGGUGAAAUGCGUAGAGAUCAGGAGGAAUACCAGUGGCGAAGGCGGCCUUCUGGACUGACACUGACGCUGAGGUGCGAAAGCGUGGGUAGCAAACAGGAUUAGAUACCCCAGUAGU
rnacentral:rRNA from 1 species